rnacentral:rRNA from 1 species
UACGUAGGGAGCAAGCGUUGUCCGGAAUCAUUGGGCGUGAAGCGCGCGUAGGUGGCUUCGUAAGUCCGUUGUGAAAGUCAAAGGCUCAACCUUUGAAUGCCGAUGGAUACUGCGGAGCUAGAGUACGGAAGAGGCGAGUGGAAUUCCUGGUGUAGCGGUGGAAUGCGCAGAUAUCAGGAGGAACACCAAUAGCGAAGGCAGCUCGCUGGGACGUUACUGACACUAAGGCGCGAAAGCGUGGGGAGCGAACAGG